UGAUGGAAAUGAACAAAUCUAACAAAUUAAACAGUUAGCAAUUGGGAGGACACGACCUGUUCAAACACGUAGAUACGCACAAUUUUGGAAUAUGAAUUUGCUAUGCCAUAAUUUUAAGAUGCAACAGCUUGAGCAAUAUCAAUAUAUGUGUUUAGGUUGGAAGAACCCAUUAUUGUGUUAAGUACUAUUAUGUGAUGAGAUUGAUCUUUAUUAGACAAGAUAUAUGUGAUUCAUGUUGCAAUGUUUUGUCCAACCUGUAUUUAAUAUUGGUGUUCCAUCCAUACCUGAAUGCAUUAAGUUGAGAGGAGACUUAAGGGCUGAUACUAGAAGUAAAGAGCGAGCAAAACAGAAAACACCUGUUUCCGGUGAUUGCUGCUUGAAGCAAGGUUGCCAAGACAACCAGUGGUUUCUAGCCGGCCUGGACAGGCAUCAGCUAAGGAACAUUCUCGAAACUUCUAGAAACUUCCAGGAAGGCCACCUGACGUGCGGGAUGAUGUCAUUCCAAUGAGGUAAUACCAGAAGCCUAUAAAUAGGUUGCCCGGAUACAGAGCGGGCGCGCUUCUUCCUAGUCAGGGCGAUGGCCGUGACGCUGCCCGGAGUAAAAGAACGAAGAUGGAUUUUGCAUUCUUUUUAAGAUUGAACCAAAAUCUACUAAGAUGAAUUUCCAGAGUCUUCGAAUUGGACUUUGUCAAAUUUUAAGCUUUGAGGAAAGCAGAGGAGAGAGCCGAUCCUGGCAGAAAGGGGAAGUCGCCACUUUUACUUUCUCCUCAUGGCCAGACCUUUCCUCUUUUUUAAACAGAAUUCGGAUUUUGGAACAAAGGAGAGCCGAUCACUCGACUUGUUCAACCAAAUAAGAUUUUAGACCUUUAGUCUCCUCUCUUGUUCUGUCUGGGACCAUGGCAGCCUUUUCUUCCCUGACCUGAUCCCUGGCACUCACUGCCUCAUUUACCAUCUCCUGCCACUCCAACACCUGGCUGUGAGCAUCAUCAGCACUCCCAGACUCACUUGCCUGUACAGUAUGAGAAGUCAAGAAACAAUAAGAGCACUCAUUUGAAAUUUAAUCCUGGAACCCAGACCUGGGAGGUAGCUCUUUUUGUAAACUGUUCCAGAUCUGCUUGCAAUGUCCUCUGUGUGUCCUCAUAUACCUCCAGUUUAGCCUCCAACAUGUCUGUUGGUGAAAGAAUCAACACAUUGUGUGAGGACGGUUUCAUAUGAUUGUGAUUUAGGUAACAUUGAAAAUUAAAACUGAAAUGAUAAAAUGUGCACCCAAAAAUGCAGUUUUAAGUACCAUUCUUUGCUUUGAGCUCCUUGUACUGCUCCACUUUCCAAAGGUUUUCCUCACGUUCCACCUCCAGUUCUGUAAUCUGACUUCGCAAGGCAGUAAGAUCAGGAGGCGCAAUACCAGCCUUAAAAAGAACACAUGGCUUGAAGGUAAUACUUGCAUAUGUUAGGACUAGGGCUCAAAGAUGUAUUUUUUUCUGAUCAAAAUCAUGAUUUUGAGAAAACCGAUCACUUGAUUGGCAAAGCUGCAUUUUUGGAGUUCUCCUGAGAGACUCAAUCUGUUGUGUGAACUAUGUCAUAA